rnacentral:rRNA from 1 species
UACAGGGGGGGCAAGCGUUGUUCGGAAUUACUGGGCGUAAAGGGCUCGUAGGCGGCCAACUAAGUCGGAUGUGAAAUCCCCAGGCUCAACCUGGGAACUGCAUCCGAUACUGGAUGGCUUGAAUUCGGGAGAGGGAUGCAGAAUUCCAGGUGUAGCGGUGAAAUGCGUAGAUAUCUGGAGGAAUACCGGUGGCGAAGGCGGCAUCCUGGACCGACAUUGACGCUGAUGAGCGAAAGCUAGGGGAGCAAACGGG